AAUAAGUCAUAACUUUUGUUUUAUUCGAUAAACUCAAUUCAACGCUCUGUGAGCUAUCUAAAGUUUGUCUGUUCCUCUCAAAUGAUAAUAGUUACUAUUGUCAUUUUCCUUGUAAAUUAUUCUAGCUUAGGCACAUAAUAUGACAACGUCAUAUUUGUUCUAAUUAUCUCACAAUUAUUCUUUAGCUCAGUUUCUACUCAUUUCUUGAUUCACGGAUCAUUUUAUUUUGCUCAAAGUGAUUCAAAUUUAUAUUUUAUCAUUUCAUAGAGUUCCCCAUAAUUUUUGGGAUAAUAAUAUAUCACUCAUAUAUUUUUCUCUUAACUUUAUGAGCUAAAUCAUUCAGUGUCUAAAUCAAUUCGUACCGAUUUUAAAAAAAAUAUAUAUCUUCUCAAAGUAUCUUUAGAAAAUAUCUCACCAUCCUUAUCCCUCCGUCCACCUCAUCCUCGGCUCACUCUCAUUUCUUUCUUCCUUCACGUUUUUUUUCUUUCUUUUGCUGCAUACCCAUUUCAUUUGUUCUUCUUCAUGUUUUCUCCUUUCUUGUUCUCUUCUUCUCCUCAUCACCAACACCAAAUUCUUAUUUUCUCUCUUGUACAGCACCUCACCAUCAUCACGAGUUGCUUCUUCCUUCAUGUUCAAGCCGCCACCAAUCCUCUCCAUGGCCACAACGAAGCCAGCCAUCACCACCAUGGUUUUCCUUUCUUCUUCAUUCACGUGCAGCACCCACACCAUCACCACCGUCCCUCAUCCUCACCAUGGCAACAGUCCAGCCAAGAGGCCACCAUAAUCACGUUCUUCUUCUCCUUUCCACCAUGAAAACCAUCACCACAAACAUGUUCUUGUUCUGCCCCUCCUUCUUCACGCAAGAAAGCCACCAUGGCAGCCACCAUGUUCCUCUUCUUUCUCUCCAUGGCCACCACGAGAAGGCCAGCACCACAAACGUACAGCCCCAUUCAUCAUAUGGUAUUGUUCAAGCUUCAUCUUCCAUAUCAUGACAAGGAGACACCAUCACCAUGCCACUUUACUUCCUCAUGUGGUAAAACCUUUUCCUUUGCUAUCUCUAAUUGAUAAACUUCAUUUACAUGCUUCAAAAUUCUUAGAACAAGAUCUGAUCAUUUCAUGAAAUAGGGAUUUAAGCUCCUCCACCAUCAUCUUCUCAUUUUCCUUGGUAAAAGCCUUAAUUUCUUGAUUAGUAUGUUUGUAUAUUUGAUUUCUAAAUUUAUCUGGGGUUUAGAUGAAUCAAAAUGGUUUGAGAUAGUGUUUUGGUGCUGAGAACAUGUUGGAAAUUUCAAAACCACGUUCUGUUAUGAAGUCCGUCACAAACAUCAGUUUUUCCGUCACAAAGCUCUGUUUUUCCGUCACUAACAGAACCUGCAGGGGACAAUUUCCUGUUUCGGUUCUCCAACUUGAAAAUUGCAUAACUCUCUCAUCUUUUAUCCGUUUUAGGUGUAUGACCACUUUUUAGAAAGCCCCAAAAGUCUACUUUAAUAUAAAACAUAUUUGAAACUCUUUCUUCUGCUAAUUGGCUGAAGAAAAUAUAUAUUUCUAAUGUAAUAUGUUUUACUAAUCUCUUUACAAAGGUUGAGUGGUUGAGUAGAGUUUUAUGUUAAUGUAUUAAGUUUUCUAAAAAGUUGUUUCCUUUGAGUUAAGUGGUUUUGGGGGUUUUAAGGAUUUUUUUUUAAGCCUUAAUGUGCUUGAAAAGCUUUUGCGAAAACUCACAUAAAACUGUUGUUGUUUUCAAAAGUAGUAGCCGCUGUUCUGUUAAACUCGUAUGUUUCGGUUAAGAUUUUCGAACUGUGUUCUUCAUAAUAGUUGUAGAUUUUUCCGUUAGCAAACUUUUGCCACUGGUUUCGUGUCGUUUUGAUUUGUCUAGCUCAAGUUAUACGCAUUUUGGUGAGCACGGGUUAAGCUGUCCCGUUUCUCACGAACUGCUGUAGUAUUCGAUUUUUCCUGAAUUUUGUACUUUGAAUUUAGACUUGAAUAUUUAUGAGGAUUUACAAAACCUGUAGAUGAAGCCAGGAUAAAAAAUAGUAGAUUUUUCGGAGUUCAUUUGACGUAUUUAAAAAUUAGCUAAAGCCGCUGUACAGUUUAUAAUCGUUUGACAAAAUUAGUUAUUUCAAGUGAAAAGAAUUGCUUUGGGAAAAAGAUGAGAAAACCUUUUAUUUUAAUCGAUAUUGCAAUGCCUUGGAGUAGGAAAACAUAUUUUUAAACUUACUUACAUACUUUAUUUAUCCGUUUAUGAAAAUAGAGAACGUUUGAGUUCACACACAUUUAUUCGUUAGAAAGCGAUUGCGAAAGGUUUUAAAGUCGAACAAGUUGUCGGAGUGUUAGGGAAUAAGCGUAUUGAUACUAUCUCGCUAGUCGAUGGAUGCUUAGGAAUAACAAGAUUGGAUGGAGUUAGAGCAAUUAAGUUUGGAUUUCCGAGUGAGGAAUUAGACUCCGAAAGGUAUUAAUUAGAAUGGAUUAAGUUGUGAUUGCAAUCUUGAUGUUGGAAGAUGACUUAGGAUUGAAUCUUGAAUUCCAAGAAGUCUAUGAGCUUUACUAUAAAUACUUGGUUCUAGAAGGUCAAGAUUUGAAACUUUGGAAGUUCAAGGACUUAGAAGUGAUUAAGGGAUUGAUUGAGGACUAGAAGUUAUUUCUUAGAGAUUGAUGACUUAUCUAUAAGUUGGGAUUUUUGUAGAACCAAAGUGGAGUUUCGAAGAAACUAGGGUUGUGUGUCUAAUGAGAUAUCGUGAGUUUAAGUUUAAGAGAAAUGAUUCGAUCGUUUUGAAGGAGCUUAUGAGUCAUGAAUAAGUACAUAAUCAUUAGAUAAGAAGAGUUGUUUGCCUUGGAAGUUAACUAUGGUUUAUGGAUUACAUGAUAAGAGUUAGUGGUUUUGAUAAGAAUUGAUAAUGAUACAACGUUGGCUUGAGGAAUAGAUCGUGAGAGCGAGUUGAGACAUUAAGUUGUUGUAGGUGACUUGAUAAGUAAGUAUUGAGGAUAAAGAGGAUUAUGGAAUAGAAAACGGGAAGAGAUUACUUAAGGAGGAUGAUAGGAGAAUGCUAUUGCAGAUGUUGUGUUAAUUGCUUUAACGGGAAGUGGUGUGUAGUAUUGCGAAAAUACCUCAAUGAGUAUCCUAUUAGAGACUGAGAUCUCUAAGGAAAAUGAGAGGAGUAAGUACUAGUAAUGUGUACUUAUCUAUUUUGACAAGCAUAUGAGUAUUUGGUUUUAAAGUUGAUUUACUAAGUCAUAAGAUUUUGAAGCUUUGUUAUUGCUUUGUUGUCAUUAUGAUGACUUAUCUUAAUUUCUGAGGUUGAUCUUGAUGGUUUAUAACCAUUAAGGAGAUUGAGUUUAACUUGUGAUUUCGUCGAGUCAAUUGCUUGAGAGUGUAGCUUUAGACUUGGAAAGUAGGUAGCUCAAUUAGUGAUUAUGUUAUGUGUACUUAUGAAGGGUAUGAAUAACGGAAGCGCUUGACGACGAAGCCAAAGAACAGACGGAAGUGAGCCAACACGGGAAAGCAAAGAUAUGACUGGAUUUGAUUUGAGUCGCAACUUAGUAAGGAAAGCGCCUAAGACGACGAAAGGAGGUGAUGUGAGCAGAUGCUACUCCACGUGGAAGAUCUAUAGAAGACUCGAAGAAUAGAGUCGGGUGUAGGGCUAGAGCCUUUGGAUAGAAAAGCUUACCGUUAUUGGUUUAAGCUUGCAGGAUCAUUUUAUGAUUUGUAUUUAAGGUUUCGGGUAGGUUCCGGUGCAUUGCUUUCCUAUGGUUACCCAGUGUGGAAAUCAUAGGGAGUAUAUCGGAUUUAUGGAGUCUUUGCAUAGUGAGUCCGUUGUUGGAUCUUA